rnacentral:lncRNA from 1 species
UGGGGAGAUCGGCAGCUCAGGGACCUCAGCAGCUGAUGUGGCAUGCUCGGGCGCCUGGUCAUGGAAGAGGCCGAUGUCUGCAAACCAGUCCAGCUCUCCGAAACAAUCGGGGACCUCCUUCUGUGAGACCCAACAGAUGGGGACGUGAGAUCUUCCCGUCGAAGCCGAUCGGGCCCCAAAUAGGGUUUCAGUUUGGGAUCUUACCUUGUCGCUGGACUCGUAAUCAGACAGCUGGAGGAACUCGUCCACAGCCCACGCGGAAGGCGUAAAUUCAGAGGAAGCUUGCUUGCCGGUGGGAGCUUUCUGAGCGAGAGGAUGUGGCGUCUGGUUCGGUGGCUCGGUGAAGGCCUUGCCGGCUGCGUCUUUGUGGCUGCACGCAGAGGUCAGCGCCACGCGAAUCCCGGUCGCCAGGAGACGUUGAUGGU